ensembl:lncRNA
CACCAUCAUCGUCUUUGGCAGGUUGAAUUUCUUCAGCUGCCUGAGGAAGAACAACCUCUGCUGCUUAUUGGUGAUGGAGCUGAUGUUCAGCUCCCACUUGAGGUCCUGGGUGAUGAUGGAGCCCAGGAAACGGAAGGAAUCCACAAUAGUGACGGGGGAGUCGCACAGAGUAAUGGGGGAAGGUGGGGCUCUGUUCCUCCGGAAAUCCACAACCAUCUCCACUGUCUUUAGGGCGUUGAGCUCUAGGUUGUUCUGGCUGCACCACGACACCAGAUUCCCACCUGUAGGCGGACUCAUCACCACCAGAGAUCAGUCCAACGAAGGUGGUGUCAUCCGCAAAUUUCAGGAGCUUGACGGACUGCACUGCAUGAAAAGAAGCGGUGCACCGUCUUCACAACUCCGAGAGGAAUUACAGACGCUACGAACCGGAGCAAGGGUAAGAUUUAAAGAUGCUUUCAUUCUGCGGUAUAAGGGAAUAUAUACGUAUAGAUACCAUAGGAUGGCUACCGAUCAUAACUGUACAUUUUCUUUUCAC